rnacentral:misc_RNA from 1 species
GAUGAAGAACGCAGUGAAAUGCGAUAAGUAAUGUGAAUUGCAGAAUUCAGUGAAUCAUCGAAUCUUUGAACGCACAUUGCGCCCGCUAGUAUUCUGGCGGGCAUGCCUGUUCGAGCGUCAUUUCAACCAUCAAGCCCUGUUUAGGCUUGUGUUGGGGCCCUGCGGUUGCCGCAGCCCCCUAAAUGCAGUGGCGGGCUCGUUGUCACUCCGAGCGCAGUAGCGUAUCUCGCUCUGGGCGUGACAGCUUGUACCGGCCGUGAAACUCUCACUAAGGUUGACCUCGGAUCAGGUAGGAAUACCCGCUGAACUUAAGCAUAUCAAUAAGCGGAGGA